rnacentral:rRNA from 1 species
UACGGAGGAUGCAAGCGUUAUCCGGAAUGAUUGGGCGUAAAGCGUCCGCAGGUGGCAAUGUAAGUCUGCUGUCAAAGCGUCUGGCUCAACCAGAUAAAGGCAGUGGAAACUACAUAGCUAGAGUAAGGUAGGGGUAGAGGGAAUUCCUGGUGUAGCGGUGAAAUGCGUAGAGAUCAGGAAGAACACCGGUGGCGAAAGCGCUCUGCUGGACCUUUAACUGACACUGAGGGACGAAAGCUAGGGGAGCGAAUGGG